rnacentral:misc_RNA from 1 species
UGUAAUGCGCUGUUGCUUUGUGGCCA